UCAAGCGACUAAGUGUAUGCGGCGGAUGCCUUGGCGAUCAUAGGCGAAGAAGGACGUGUAAGCCUGCGAAAAGCUGCGGGGAGUUGGCAAAAGAACAUUGAUCCGCAGAUGUCCGAAUGGGGAAACCCUCCAAUUUAUUGGAAUUCAUAACUGAAUACAUAGGUUAUGAAGGCGAACGCAGUGAACUGAAACAUCUAAGUAACUGCAGGAAAAGAAAUCAACCGAGAUUGCGGAAGUAGCGGCGAGCGAAACCGCACCAGCCUAGUCAUUGAUAAUUCUGAUCAACAGCAGAACGACCUGGGAAGGUCGGCUACAGAGGGUGACAGCCCCGUAUGCGAAGUUGAUGGAAUGGUACUGAGGUGACGAAAAGUAGGGCGGGACACGUGACAUCCUGUCUGAAGAUGGGGGGACCAUCCUCCAAGGCUAAAUACUCAUGAUCGACCGAUAGCGAACCAGUACUGUGAAGGAAAGGUGAAAAGAACCCCGGGAGGGGAGUGAAAUAGAACCUGAAACUGCAUACAUACAAACAGUAGGAGCCCGCAAGGGUGACUGCGUACCUUUUGCAUAAUGGGUCAGCGACUUACGUUUUGCGGCGAGCUUAACCGAGUAGGGGAGGCGCAGCGAAAGCGAGUUCGAACAGAGCGAUAAAGUCGUAAGGCGUAGACCCGAAACCAGAUGAGCUAUCCAUGGUCAGGUUGAAGGUGUGGUAACACACACUGGAGGACCGAACCGACCGGUGUUGCAAAACCGGCGGAUGAACUGUGGAUAGGGGUGAAAGGCUUAACAAAUCUGGAGAUAGCUGGUUCUCCCCGAAAACUAUUGAGGUAGUGCCUCGUGAAUGACUGCCGGGGGUAGAGCACUGUUAUGGCUAGGGGGACAUGGCGUCUUACCAAACCAUGGCAAACUCCGAAUACUGGCAAGUUGAAUCACGGGAGACAGAGCACCGGGUGCUAACGUCCGGACUCAAAAGGGAAACAACCCAGACCGCCGUUUAAGGUCCCUAAUAACAGCUAAGUGGAAAACGAAGUGUGAAGGCUAAGACAGUCAGGAAGUUGGCUUAGAAGCAGCCAUCCUUCAAAGAAAGCGUAAUAGCUCACUGAUCGAGUCCUCAUGCGCGGAAGAUGUAUCGGGGCUAAGUUAAUAACCGAAAGCGCGGAUUUCGCAGCAAUGCGAAGUGGUAGGGGAGCGUUCUGUAAGCCUGCGAAGGUGACUUGAGAAGGUUGCUGGAGGUAUCAGAAGUGCGAAUGCUGACAUGAGUAACGAUAAAGCGGGUGAAAAGCCCGCUCGCCGUAAGCCCAAGGUUUCCUGCUCUACGUUCAUCGGAGCAGGGUGAGUCGGCCCCUAAGGCCAGGCUGAGAAGCGUAGUCGAUGGGAAUCAGGUUAAUAAUCCUGAACCGCAUCAGAAUGCGAUGGGGGGACGGAGUUUGGAAGGUCAUCCGGGUGUUGGAUAUCCCGGUUUGUGAGAGUAGGAGGUUCGCAGGCAAAUCCGCGGACAUAUCUCCGAGUCAAAGCAUCGAGCUUUCGUUAGAAAGUGAAGUGAUUGGAAGAACUUCCAGGAAAAGCCUCUAAGCUUCAGUUUUGAUGUGACCGUACCGUAAACCGACACUGGUGGGCGAGUUGAAUAUACUAAGGCGCUUGAGAGAACUCGGGAGAAGGAACUCGGCAAAUUGACACCGUAACUUCGGGAUAAGGUGUGCCUUGGUAGCGUGAAAGGAGAAACUCCCCAAGCGCGAAGAGGUCACAGAAAAUAGGGGGCUGCGACUGUUUACUAAAAACACAGCACUCUGCAAAGACGAAAGUCGACGUAUAGGGUGUGAUGCCUGCCCGGUGCCGGAAGAUUAAGUGAUGGGGUGAGAGCUCCUGAUCGAAGUCCCGGUAAACGGCGGCCGUAACUAUAACGGUCCUAAGGUAGCGAAAUUCCUUGUC
rnacentral:rRNA from 1 species